rnacentral:lncRNA from 1 species
AAGUCCUAGACAGUUUAAAAAUAGUUAGGGAAAAAGGAUUUUUUCUUAAGAAAUAAAGGUGAAAUAAAGCAUGGAGUCAGGUAGAGAUUCAAUCCAGAGACAUUUCAAUCUAGAGUGGCCCAGCCUGUAGCUGACAUGGCUUCUCAGUCCAUUCCCUGCCUUGCCUGCAGCUUCCACAUGAAUGACCACUGGCCCAUACAGGGCUUGCACCUUGCUGGGCCCUGUAUGGCAAUUUCCUAAUCCUAGCAAGCCUGGGGGUGCUGCAGGAGGCCAGGGCAUGUUUCAUCCCUUAUCUGCAACUGCAUAAGGCAGACACCCCCCUGAGAGGCCAUUAUAGAGGGACCCCCCCCCCCGGGAAAGCAUUCUUUUCCCAGGGCUGUGAAUUA